rnacentral:rRNA from 1 species
GACAUAGGUGGCGAGCGUUGUUCGGAAUUACUGGGCGUAAAGAGUGUGUAGGCGGUGCUCUAAGUUCGGUGUGAAAUCUCCCGGCUUAACUGGGAGGGUGCGCCGGAAACUGGAGUGCUCGAGCGUGGGAGAGGAAAGCGGAAUUCCUGGUGUAGCGGUGAAAUGCGUAGAUAUCAGGAGGAACACCUGCGGUGUAGACGGCUUUCUGGACCAUUGCUGACGCUGAGACACGAAAGCGUGGGUAGCAAACAGG